CUUCACCUUAGAGCUGCCUUCCCCAACUUCCAAAAAUCAAUACUCCCUAAGUGUAUUUCCCUAACCCAGAAAUACGCAUACACAUAGACAUAGAUAGAGAGAGGCGGACAUAGUGAGAACGAGGAAAGAGGAAGCCAUGGUGAUAACUUUCUAGGUGCUGUCAUUAGGAAUUUGAAACUCUAAAAAUCUGUUCGAGGUCACCGACGAGUUUUCUGGGUUUCAAACCUCAUUUUGGUUGAAAGUGCUGUUAUUUUGCUGCUGAAUUUGUUGAUCCCUGUUUUCCUGGAUUCAAACUUGUUGGAUUCAUCCUUUAUUUGGCAUUUCUUAAGUGACUCUUGUACAAUCAGGUUCACAUAUAUGUCUAAUGGCCUUCUGAGAGCAGAGGCGUGGUUAAAGCGGGGACUUAGGUGAGAACUUGGCGGAGUGGGUUUUGGCCCUUGAAGGCCAAGGGUACUGGAAAAGAGAGCUCGAAUUCGAGACUUUACAUUUCGAAGAAAGAAAGACCCCUCCAGCUAAGCCAUCAAUCAAAGAGCCACCAUAGUUGGAGCUAAAACCGUUGUCGUCCCACCUCAGGAGCAAGUUGGACGAAAAGUGAGCAAAAGAAGUUGAUUCGCGACCAAAAGACAAAAGAAGAACUUUGCUCGUUCAUUCUCGCAUGCACCCGAGAGAGUGAAUGAGCUAGCUGAGGAAAAACUUGAAAAAAAAAAAUAACGGAUUACGGCAAAAGGCAUGGAAGUGUACGAGAGACCUAGAAGGAAAAGAAAAAGAGAAGCACUUCGCUCGUUCACUCUAGCGUGCACACGAGAGAGUGAACGAGCUAACCUGAAAAGUCUGUGUAUUAUUUCGCCCCAUACUAAUCCUAUCCCAUAUAAAUAGUCUCUAAACGCACCUUUUGAGGGAGGCGAACGGGAGAAGGCAAGAACACAAAGAAAAUAGCAAGGCAGAGAAUUCUUCUACGAGUUUUUCACUUUCUUCUUCUUCAUAUUUCCAUUGUUGGUUAUGACUUUUUAUAUUGUAAUCUUACAUAAUAUUAUGAGUAGCUAAAUCCGUCAUCCGGGGUUUGAUGGAACCUAUUGGAGGAUAAUUUUUUACUACGUCUAAUAUAAAUUUGCCUUUGAAUUC